rnacentral:rRNA from 1 species
UCUGGUUGAUCCUGCCAGUAGUGAUAUGCUUGUUUCAAAGAUUAAGCCAUGCAUGUCUAAGUAUAAGCGAACUUAUACAGUGAAACUGCGGAUGGCUCAUUAAAACAGUUUGAAUUUAUUUGAUGAAUGUAUGAGAAUACUACUUGGAUAACCGUAGUAAUUCUAGAGCUAAUACAUGCAACGACGCCCGACCGUUUCACUACGGAAGGGCUGUAUUUAUUGGAUACCAAAACCAUCCUUCCCUCGGGAAGUUUUGUUUGAUGAUUCACAAUAACUGAUCGGAUCGCCACUGUGGUGGCGACAGGUCAUUCAACAUUCUGCCAUAUCAGCUUUCGAUGGUUGUGUAGUGGACAACCAUGGCCAUAACGGGUAACGGAGAAUCAGGGUUCGAUUCCGGAGAAGGAGCUUGAGAAUUGGCUACUACAUCUAAGGAAGGCAGCAGGCGCGCAAAUUACCCAAUCCCGAUUCGGGGAGGUAGUGACAAAAAAUAACAAUACCGGGCCUUUUUGGGCUUGGUAAUUGGAAUGAGGGAGAGUUAAACGGACCAUCGAGUAUCCAUUGGAGGGCAAGUCUGGUGCCAGCAGCUGCGGUAAUACCAGCUCCAAUAGCGUAUAUUAAAGUUGUUGCAGUUAAAAGCUCGUAGUUGGACUUGUGUGCGCUGUCCGCGGGUGGCCUGCGCCCAAAAGGGCGUUUCGGUUCGGCCCCGGUGGCGCCUUGAAAUCUGCAGCUGGGGGGACGUUGGCCUUAACUGGUCGGCGACCGCACGCCGGCUGCUCGGUUACUGUGAGAAAAUUAGAGUGUUCAAGGCAGGCAUUGGGUGCAAUUGAAUACAUUAGCAUGGAAUAAUAAAAUAUGGCUCCUGCCGUAUUUUGUUGGUUUUGACUGGUGGGAGUAAUGAUUGAUAGGGACGGUUGGGGGUGCUAGUAUUGAGCGGCCAGAGGUGAAAUUCAUGGAUUCGCUCAAGACUAACUUAUGCGAAAGCAUUCACCAAGGACGUCCUCUUUAAUCAAGAACGAAAGUUGGGGGAUCGAAGACGAUCAGAUACCGUCGUAGUCUCAACCAUAAACUAUGUCGACUUGGGAUCGGCGGUAGUUUUUUCAUUAAGACACUGUCGGGACCACGGGAGAAAUCAAAGUGUCUGGACUCUGGGGGAAGUAUGGUCGCAAGGCUGAAACUUGAAGGAAUUGACGGAAGGGCACCACCAGGAGUGGAGCCUGCGGCUUAAUUUGACCCAACACGGGGAAACUUACCAGGUCCAGAGAUGUAGAGGAUUGACAGAUUGAAGCUCUUUCUUGAUCACUUCGGUGGUGGUGCAUGGCCG